CUCUCGGGUAGCUGGGACUACAGGCACACACUGCCACGCCUGGCUAAUUUUUAUAUUUUUAGUAGAGACGAGGUUUCACCAUAUUGGCCAGGCUGGUCUUGAACACCUGACCUUGUGAUCCACCUGCCUCGGCCUCCCAAAGUGCUGGGAUUACAGGAAUGAGUCACCGCGCCAGCCUCUACUUUUAAGCAUUCUUAUAAUGACACUGGGCCCACCCAGAUAAUAAAAGAUGACUUCUGCAUGUCAAAAUCCUUAAUCACAUCUACAGACUCUCUUUUCCAGGUGCUGAGGAAACCGAGGCCCAGUGAGGUCAUGAGACUUCUCCAAAAUCAAGUGGCUGAAAGGUGACAGGUCUGUCUGACUUCCAAGUUCAUUAUCUUUUUUGUUGUUUAUUUGUUUUUGGUUAUAUUAUUUUCUAUUUAAAAACUAAUGCUAUCAAUACCUACAAGGUAUAACAAGUCUCUGACUUUAAAAAGUCAGCUGCUAAUUCUAUAAUGUCAUUAUUGUUAUAGAAGUAGCCUGUAUUCAUGUCAGUAAUGUUGUGAGAGAGAGUCCAGGCAUGCCGCUUUCCUGCAAGGCUUCAGUGACACCGUAAGUGGCUGCUAGACUCAAUAUAUAUAUAUUUCAGCAGAUUUAUCUUUAUAAAUCAUAUAGCUUUUAAGAUUUGUUUACAUUUAAACUUCUAGAAGAAAUCUGUAUUAGAUUUUUGAAAUCAGAUUUUAAUGGGCUUCAUGUGUCAGGAA
rnacentral:lncRNA from 1 species